CAGGGCACGUGAAGAAGAAGAAAGAAAACUUAACAGGGAGGAAUACAAAAGAGCGAUAAAGGAAUUGAAGCAGACUAGGGAGAGGCUGGAAGCUCUGCUUGAGAGGUAUGCUGCAAAAUGGUUUUUCCUGAUUCAACAUGAAUCAAAU